AACUUUUUAAUUAAGAAAUUUUUAAUAUUACAGUUGAAUUUUAUUUUUUUUAUUUUUU
rnacentral:tRNA from 1 species